AGCGAACGCUGGCGGCAGGCCUAACACAUGCAAGUCGAACGGAUCCUUCGGGAUUAGUGGCGGACGGGUGAGUAACACGUGGGAACGUGCCCUUUGGUUCGGAACAACUCAGGGAAACUUGAGCUAAUACCGGAUGUGCCCUUCGGGGGAAAGAUUUAUCGCCAUUGGAGCGGCCCGCGUCUGAUUAGCUAGUUGGUGGGGUAAAGGCCCACCAAGGCGACGAUCAGUAGCUGGUCUGAGAGGAUGAUCAGCCACAUUGGGACUGAGACACGGCCCAAACUCCUACGGGAGGCAGCAGUGGGGAAUCUUGCGCAAUGGGCGAAAGCCUGACGCAGCCAUGCCGCGUGAAUGAUGAAGGUCUUAGGAUUGUAAAAUUCUUUCGCCGGGGACGAUAAUGACGGUACCCGGAGAAGAAGCCCCGGCUAACUUCGUGCCAGCAGCCGCUGUAAGAC
rnacentral:rRNA from 1 species